GGGGAAUAUUGGACGAUGGGCGAAAGCCUGAUCCAGCCAUGCCGCGUGAGUGAUGAAGGCCCUAGGGUUGUAAAGCUCUUUCGGCGGGGAAGAUAAUGACGGUACCCGCAGAAGAAGCCCCGGCUAACUUCGUGCCAGCAGCCGCGGUAAUACGAAGGGGGCUAGCGUUGCUCGGAAUCACUGGGCGUAAAGCGCACGUAGGCGGAUCUUUAAGUCGGGGGUGAAAUCCCGGAGCUCAACUCCGGAACUGCCUUCGAUACUGGGGAUCUUGAGUCCGAGAGAGGUGAGUGGAACUCCGAGUGUAGAGGUGAAAUUCGUAGAUAUUCGGAAGAACACCAGUGGCGAAGGCGGCUCACUGGCUCGGUACUGACGCUGAGGUGCGAAAGCGUGGGGAGCAAAC
rnacentral:rRNA from 1 species